UAGCAAGAGAGGGAGAGAGAGACCAAAAGACUGAAACAGACAGAUAAAGAGUGAUGUAAACACAAGACCGAGACAGAGAUACAGAAGGGAAAUGGGAAUACAGAAAAUAGGCAGGAGGGAAAAAAAAGCAUAAUUACAGUUACAAAGUUAGAACAGAAAGAGAUGAGAGACGAAACAGCUCAGACAGAGAUGGAUGACUGUAUCCGCUGUACACGUGCAAACACCGUGUUGCAAUGACGAUGAUGGGCCUGUCAUGUGAAAGAAGUAGAGCACAGAUGGACAGAGAUGUAUUAUAUGCGGUAGAGCCUCAUUGGGUCACCAGAAACUUGAGUGAAUACAGUACGGAUCAGUGGCCACCGUUACUUACAGAAAUUCCUGCUUAGUCUCCACAUUGACG
ensembl:lncRNA